CCGACGAUAGCUCAGUUGGUAGAGCGGGUGACUGUAGAUCACCAGGUCCUGAGUUCAAUUCUCAGUCGUCGGA
rnacentral:tRNA from 1 species